CAUAUGCUAAUCAGUUAUGUUCGCUUUAACAAUAUUAUAUGAUUUGAAUAUUAUAACGAUGCAUUUAAAAUCAUAUCUAUAUGAGGUCAUGUUCCCCUAUAUAAAGUUGAAAUGCUUGUAUAAUCCUUAGAUUUUCAUCAGAAGUAAAAAUGAAAUCCAAAUAUUCUCUAUUUUUAUGUCUUCUACUUUUGUCUGUUUUAGUCCUCUCAUGGGCUACACAAAUCCACACAACUCAAGAUGAGAAACAAGUUUCAGCAGAGGAUGUAGCACAUGUGGACAACGACGGCACUUCUGAAGAUCGGAAGUAUGCUACAGGACCACCGCCUGGCUGGGGAGGCUUCGGUGGAGGCGGCGGCGGUCGUUCAUGGAAAGGAGGCGGCGGGAAGGGAGGUGGUGGAAAAGGAGGCAGAAACUGAGAUCAUAGCAAAUAUGUAAUAUGAUGUAUGUUUUGAAGGGAUAAAAGUAUAUGUGUGUAUAAUAAUAUAAGUAUAAGUAACAAAGUUCGAAUAAUUCAGGAAGCAGAGUUGUUCCAAUAAACUUUGAAGCUGUGGAUUUCGCUCGUGAAGUAUGUUUGUCAUUGCAACACUUUUUUGUCUCUUUUGUUGUGAGAUAUAUUAUCAGCCAGUGUAAAGAAUAAAUAAAAUAAUGGCAUUAUUCAA